rnacentral:rRNA from 1 species
AGUGAACGCUGGCGGUAGGCCUAACACAUGCAAGUCGAACGGCAGCACAGUAAGAGCUUGCUCUUACGGGUGGCGAGUGGCGGACGGGUGAGGAAUACAUCGGAAUCUACUUUUUCGUGGGGGAUAACGUAGGGAAACUUACGCUAAUACCGCAUACGACCUACGGGUGAAAGCAGGGGAUCUUCGGACCUUGCGCGAUUGAAUGAGCCGAUGUCGGAUUCGCUCGUUGGCGGGGUAAAGGCCCACCAAGGCGACGAUCCGUAGCUGGUCUGAGAGGAUGAUCAGCCACACUGGAACUGAGACACGGUCCAGACGCCUACGGGAGGCAGCAGUGGGGAAUAUUGGACCAUGGGCGCAAGCCUGAUCCAGCCAUACCGCGUGGGUGAAGAAGGCCUUCGGGUUGUAAAGCCCUUUUGUUGGGAAAGAAAAGCAGCAGGUUAAUACCCCGCUGUUCUGACGGUACCCAAAGAAUAAGCACCGGCUAACUUCGUG